UGGCGCUGUCAGGAUCAGCCUUCAGCAUGGACGGACUGGUCACAACAUGAGGAAGCUGAGCAGGUUCAGCCGCACUAAAGAUCUCCAGGACUUUAUCAGCCAUGUCCUGCACCACACAAACGAGACAGAAUGAUGAUGGAGUUCCCAUUGACAUGCAUUAUACGACUGACAGACCGCAACGGUUGGAGUUAAAAAUCAUCAUUUGUGUUCUACUGAAGAAACAAAGUCACCUACAUCUUGGAUGCCCUGGGGCUCACACACUCACAAGAUGCAGCUGACCUGCUGAAGCAGUCUCCUAAUUGAGCACAGCUCUCCUGAAAGGCCUGCUGCAGCUGAGCUCUCUCCGCAGGAUCACAGUCCCGCCGCAUGAGCAGUGCCGUCCGCAGGAGCAGGUGACCUUCACUUAGCAGAGCUGCAGUGCGGACACAGAACUGAUGACAUAAAGGUUCCAGCCAUGACCGCUGUCAGUCGGCUCUGUGGAUUUGGAGAUGGAGGUCUUCCUGGAUCUGAGGAACAUAGAAGAACAUGGUAAUGGUCAUAGAUCGUAA